rnacentral:rRNA from 1 species
AUGUUGUUUGGUCAUGCACCAUCAUAUAUAUGUUGUUGUACUGUCUACUUUAGUGAUCUAAAACGUCUUAUAUUUGUUUACAGAGGUGGUAACAUACUCCCUCUGAAUCAAAAUAUAAGACGUUUUUUGGUUUUGCAUAGGGCAUUAAAAAUGUCAUACAUUUUGUCACGGAGGGAUCUUAAACAGAUUUCGUUAGAUGGUUCUCAAAGCACAUGUUUUGUGUUGGAUAUCCCCCCUUUAUCAGUGAUUAGAAUAUCACUUCAAAGUAGCCUAGAGGUGUAUUCAUCCAGCUUGUCUUUUUUAGAAGCCUCUAUAUUAAUGUUAGCUGAACCAUUGAUAACCCUUUCACAUAAUCUCACUGUCCACUGA